rnacentral:rRNA from 1 species
UAACACGUGGGAAUCUGUCGUCCAGUGGGGGAUAACGCAUCGAAAGGUACGCUAAUCCCGCAUACGUUCCGCAAGGAAGAAAGGCGCAAGUCGCUGGAUGAGGAGCCUGCGGCCCAUCAGGUAGUUGGAGAGGUAACGGCUCACCAAGCCAAUGACGGGUAGCUGGUCUGUGAGGACAACCAGCCAGACUGGGACUGAGAACGGCCCAGACUCCUACGGGAGGCAGCAGUAAGGAAUUUUCGUCAAUGGGGGAAACCCUGAACGAGCAACGCCGCGUGGAGGAUGACGGUCUUCGGAUUGUAAACUCCUUUUAUGAGGGACGAUAAUGACGGUACCUCAGGAAUAAGCCCCGGCUAACUACGUGCCAGCAGCCGCGGUAAUACGUAGGGUGCAAGCGUUGUCCGGAAUUAUUGGGCGUAAAGAGCUCGUAGGCGGUUUGUCACGUCUGCUGUGAAAUUUCGAGGCUCAACCUCGAACUUGCAGUGGGUACGGGCAGGCUAGAGUGCGGUAGGGGAGAUGGGAAUUCCUGGUGUAGCGGUGGAAUGCGCAGAUAUCAGGAGGAACACCAAUGGCGAAGGCACAUCUCUGGGCCGUAACUGACGCUGAGGAGCGAAAGCGUGGGGAGCGAACAGGAUUAGAUACCCUGGUAGUCCACGCCGUAAACGGUGGGUGCUAGCUGUGGGCCACAUUCCACGUGGUCCGUGACGAAGUUAACACAUUAAGCACCCCGCCUGGGGAGUACGGCCGCAAGGCUAAAACUCAAAGGAAUUGACGGG